rnacentral:rRNA from 1 species
GACGAACGCUGGCGGCAUGCUUAACACAUGCAAGUCGAACGGUAAGGCCCUUCGGGGUACACGAGUGGCGAACGGGUGAGUAACACGUGGAUGAUCUGCCCUGCACUUCGGGAUAAGCCUGGGAAACUGGGUCUAAUACCGGAUAGGACUCCGGACUGCAUGGUCUGGGGUGGAAAGCUUUUGCGGUGUGGGAUGGGCCCGCGGCCUAUCAGCUUGUUGGUGGGGUGAUGGCCUACCAAGGCGACGACGGGUAGCCGGCCUGAGAGGGUGACCGGCCACACUGGGACUGAGAUACGGCCCAGACUCCUACGGGAGGCAGCAGUGGGGAAUAUUGCCCAAUGGGCGCAAGCCUGAUGCAGCGACGCCGCGUGAGGGAUGACGGCCUUCGGGUUGUAAACCUCUUUCAGCAUCGACGAAGCGAAAGUGACGGUAGGUGCAGAAGAAGGACCGGCCAACUACGUGCCAGCCGCCGCCGUAA